rnacentral:piRNA from 1 species
UNCACUGCUUUCCUGACAGGUUGUUUGCCUGA